rnacentral:misc_RNA from 1 species
UGUGGGAGCGAACUUGCUCGCGAUGGCGUCAUUUCAGGCAACUACGAUGCUGGCUGUGAAAAUGUCAUCGCGAGCAAGCUCGCUCCCACA